AAGAACGCUGGCGGUAGGCCUAGACAUGCAAUUGGAACGGCAGCACAGUAAGAGCUUGCUCUUACGGGUGGCGAGUGGCGGACGGGUGAGGAAUGCAUCGGAAUCUACUCUGUCGUGGGGGAUAACGUAGGGAAACUUACGCUAAUACCGCAUACGACCUACGGGUGAAAGCAGGGGAUCUUCGGACCUUGCGCGAUUGAAUGAGCCGAUGCCCGAUUAGCUAGUUGGCGGGGUAAGAGCCCACCAAGGCGACGAUCGGUAGCUGGUCUGAGAGGAUGAUCAGCCACACUGGAACUGAGACACGGUCCAGACUCCUACGGGAGGCAGCAGUGGGGAAUAUUGGACAAUGGGCGCAAGCCUGAUCCAGCCAUACCGCGUGGGUGAAGAAGGCCUUCGGGUUGUAAAGCCCUUUUGUUGGGAAAGAAAAGCAGCCGGUUAAUACCCGGUUGUUCUGACGGUACCCAAAGAAUAAGCACCGGCUAACUUCGUGCCAGCAGCCGCGGUAAUACGAAGGGUGCAAGCGUUACUCGGAAUUACUGGGCGUAAAGCGUGCGUAGGUGGUUGUUUAAGUCUGUCGUGAAAGCCCUGGGCUCACCUGGGAAUGGCGAUGGAAACUGGGCGACUAGAGUGUGGCAGAGGGUAGUGGAAUUCCUGGUGUAGCAGUGAAAUGCGUA
rnacentral:rRNA from 1 species